UACGUAGGUGACAAGCGUUGUCCGGAUUUACUGGGCGUAAAGAGCGCGCAGGCGGUCGUUCAAGUCGAGUGUGAAAGCCCCCCGGCUCAACUGGGGGGGGGUCACUCGAUACUGAUCGACUCGAAGGCAGGAGAGGGAAGUGGAAUUCCCGGUGUAGUGGUGAAAUGCGUAGAUAUCGGGAGGAACACCAGUGGCGAAGGCGACUUCCUGGCCUGUUCUUGACGCUGAGGCGCGAAAAGCUAGGGGAGCAAACGGGG
rnacentral:rRNA from 1 species